UACGAGUGGCCCCGAGCGUUAUCCGGAAUCAUUGGGCGUAAAGGGUGUGAUAGGUGGCAGUGUUAGUCGUCUGACUAAAGCCUGGGGACUCAACCCCAGUUCUGCCGGUCGAAACGGCACAGCUAGAGGAUGGCAGGGAUGUAUGGAACUCAUGGAGUAGGGGUGGAAAUCCGUUGAUAUCAUGGGGAACACCGAAAGCGAAGGCAGUACAUUGGGCCACUCCUGACAC
rnacentral:rRNA from 1 species